UACGGAGGGGGGCUAGCGUUGUUCGGAAUUACUGGGCGUAAAAGCGCACGUAGGCGGCUUUUGCAAGUUAGAGGUGAAAAGCCCCGGGGGCUCAACUCCGGAAUUGCCUUUAAAAACUGCAUCGCUAGAAUUGUGGAGAGGUAAAGUGGAAUUUCCGAGUGUAGAGGUGAAAAUUCGUAGAUAUUGGGGAAGAACACCGGUGGCGAAGGCGGCGACCUGGGUCCUUUACUGACGCUGAGGCGCGAAAUGCGUGGGGAGCAAACAGG
rnacentral:rRNA from 1 species